rnacentral:rRNA from 1 species
UACAGAGGUCUCAAGCGUUGUUCGGAUUCAUUGGGCGUAAAGGGUGCGUAGGCGGCGCGGUAAGUCGGGUGUGAAAUCUCGGAGCUUAACUCCGAAACUGCAUUCGAUACUGCCGUGCUUGAGGACUGGAGAGGAGACUGGAAUUUACGGUGUAGCGGUGAAAUGCGUAGAUAUUGGGAGGAACACCGGUGGCGAAGGCGGCUACCUGGAC